UCGACGAUGAUGCCCAGCUUGCUGGGCGGAUUAGUGGCGAACGGGUGAGUAAUACGUGAGUAACCUGCCCUUGACUCUGGGAUAAGCCUGGGAAACUGGGUCUAAUACUGGAUACUACCUCUUACCGCAUGGUGGGUGGUGGAAAGGGUUUUACUGGUUUUGGAUGGGCUCACGGCCUAUCAGCUUGUUGGUGGGGUAAUGGCUCACCAAGGCGACGACGGGUAGCCGGCCUGAGAGGGUGACCGGCCACACUGGGACUGAGACACGGCCCAGACUCCUACGGGAGGCAGCAGUGGGGAAUAUUGCACAAUGGGCGGAAGCCUGAUGCAGCGACGCCGCGUGAGGGAUGACGGCCUUCGGGUUGUAAACCUCUUUCAGUAGGGAAGAAGCGAGAGUGACGGUACCUGCAGAAGAAGCGCCGGCUAACUACGUGCCAGCAGCCGCGGUAAUACGUAGGGCGCAAGCGUUGUCCGGAAUUAUUGGGCGUAAAGAGCUCGUAGGCGGUUUGUCGCGUCUGCUGUGAAAGCCCGGGGCUCAACCCCGGGUCUGCAGUGGGUACGGGCAGACUAGAGUGCAGUAGGGGAGACUGGAAUUCCUGGUGUAGCGGUGAAAUGCGCAGAUAUCAGGAGGAACACCGAUGGCGAAGGCAGG
rnacentral:rRNA from 1 species